rnacentral:misc_RNA from 1 species
GCAUUUCCUCAACUGCUUCCGUAAUAGUAGAGGAAAAGGCGCAAUACUGGAUCUUCAAUCCUUGAAACUGUUAGGGAGGAAAUAACCGGUCCAUGGUUCUAAAAGAUACUGUCAGAAACUUUGCGGAUUCCUUGUCAUUCUCGCAAUUGUCCCGCUCCUCAUCAACAAUCACUAAACACCCAAUAUCCUUCAGAACACCUCCAA